GCAGGCAUAUAAAGAGGUCAAACAGUAAGUUCAUUCUGCAGCUAUUCAGUCACUCAUCUGCAAAUUUCUUUUCAAUUUCCAACUCAAAGUGUGGUCUUUCAUCUUUUAUUUUUGCAUUGACAAUUCUCAUCUUAUGCUCCCUAAUUUGUUGCAAUAUUUCUUUUGUAUAGUCUAUUUCAUUUUUCAGCGUCAUAUGCCCAGCCUAUAAUGAUAAUUGUAAAAUAUAGAGCUCAUAUUCUGUUUUGUUCUGGGGUUCUAUUGGAUAGUUGCUAUUCUUCUUUUGGCAAUCUGUAUCUGAUUGGGGUCAUUUAAUAUAGAACUAUAUUAAUAGUUCUGAAAAUCUGGGGCUAGUUUUGUUUCCUGAUAUGAUUUUGUACUCUUAGGAAUCGUAUCCUCUGUAAUAUUAUACCCAAGAAUGACGUUCCCAUUAACAUUUAAGAUAAAAGUUAAAAUUAGUUUUGUUAAAAAUUGAAAAAUAAAAGGAAAACUAGAAGAAAUCGGUGGGAAUAAGUAGUUAUUGUGGACAAUGACUUUCAUAUCUAGGGCAAUAUAAAAGAUACCAGAUCAUUUUCAUGAUGGUGGGUUUUGCUGGUAAUAAAGAUAUCCCAGAAUAUAUUUCCCUAACUUUUACCAAUAGUGAGAAUACUUAUUCCCAUCCUCAGUAUUCUCAGGAAUGAAACAUAGACAUGUAACAAACAUCUUUAAUUGAAGAAUUUUCAGGUUGUUUUCUGCUUCCACAACGUAAUGAUUUUUGCAGCUGUUAAUCGUAAUUAAACUGCACAAUUACGUACCAGAAUAAAAAUUUAAAUUUACUUAAGCUGCUUUAUUGAAAGUCAUGAGGCAACUUUGUGGCUUUCCUUACUGUACACAUACCUUAUUUUCUGCUUUGUCUUAUUUUAUCAAUAAAGCACCAUAGAACAAAGGUUUUAAGCCUUAUAGAUAAAGCACCAUAAAAAUCUAAAUUAUAUUUUGGCUCUCUAUUCCUAACAUUUAUUUAAUUGUUUUAUAAUGAUUUUCAUUAUUAUGUGACUUGUGAAUGUAGCUCACCUUUUCUUAUUUGCUUGGGUUUUGUUUGGUGUAAAACUAAAAGAAGGUGAGUUAAAAUCUUGAAGAUAACUACUAAAUAUACCCCUCUAAUUGCUAAAGUACUCCUACAUUAUGUGCUUUUUUGCUUUUGAUAUUAUCCAAAACACCUUUCCAAUUUUUUAAGGACAGUAAAACAUAAACUCUUCUGGGUGUAUUGGCUUCUGCUGCCUUUGUACAUAUUUUCUGUGUGUUCUGAGUUUUUCUACAUAUUUUCCCCUUUACUUGAGGAAAAGUUUGAGACAUGGGCAAGCAAGGGCCUUGCUAUCACUGUGGAGUUACAAUUUGUCUUGGAACCGAUGGCAUGGAUUGUGAUUUUGAUAAGAAAUUGAGAUGCGUGGAAGGGAAAAGUUCUGCCCAAUUUAAACAAAUGGAAUAAUUUAGUUUAAUGUUCUUUAUUUGGAUGUAUUAGAAUUCAACCAUAUAAACAUUCCUGUUGCCCAGAAUAUUUGGAAAUGGAAGUUCUGGAAAAUUCAAUUGUAUUAACUUCCUCUGUUGAUGUGUUAUGUGUCUCAUUCAGUGGGUCUUUGCGUUCCUUGACAAUUUAAUUUCCUUACGUGUUGCUUCUUUCUCCAAAAUGAAAGGCUUCUUUUUUCCAAGCUAGCGGGGCCAUGUGUUUUUCUUUAUUCCACUUAACAUAUAUUACUUACCUAGAAAGAAGAUCUGGCCUCCAUUCUCUUGGGGAAGGGUAAAGGGAAGUAGAGGCAAACUGUAAAGAAGAAUAAAGAGGAAGGGAAGUGGGCUGAUUCGAUUCUCCUUGGGAAUCGUUUCCAUGCAAGACCACGACCACAUCAUUUGUAUUCUGCUAUCUGUGAUUGUGAUUGUGAUUGUGUGCGUACUUUUCCCAAGCAAAAACGUAAAUACUUCAAUGUUUACUACUCAUUAUUAUGGCUACCUUCUCACUGCUAAGG
rnacentral:sRNA from 1 species